UACGUAGGGUGCAAGCGUUGUCCGGAAUUAUUGGGCGUAAAGAGCUCGUAGGCGGUUUGUUGCGUCGGCUGUGAAAUCCCGAGGCUCAACCUCGGGUCUGCAGUCGAUACGAGCAAACUAGAGUGUUGCAGGGGAGACUGGAAUUCCUGGUGUAGCGGUGAAAUGCGCAGAUAUCAGGAGGAACACCGAUGGCGAAGGCAGGUCACUGGGCCGCAACUGACGCGGAGGAGCGAAAGCAUGGGGAGCGAACAGG
rnacentral:rRNA from 1 species